rnacentral:rRNA from 1 species
UACGAGUGGUCCAAGCGUUAUCCGGUCUUAUUGGGCGUAAAGGGUCCGCAGGCGGUAGUAUAAGUCGGAUGUUAAAUCCUGGUGCUCAACAUCAGGACUGCAUCGGAAACUAUACAACUAGAGGCUGGGAGAGGUGCAUGGAAUUGUCGGUGUAGUAGUAAAAUGCGUUAAUAUCGACAAGAACACCAAAGGCGAAGGCAUUGCAGUAGAACAGUUCUAACGCUAAGGGACGAAAGCGUGGGGAGCGAAUGGG